GUGCAGGUGAGUUCUGUGGUGCGAUUCGGACAUAAAAGAAGAAAAACUGACACCAUGGGUAAAUAGAAAGCAACUAACAGACAAACAAUAUAACACAAAUCACAACAAAAAACCUGAAGACUGAGCAACACGAACCCCACCAAAAACUAGGGAUUAUCUCAGGAAGGUUAAGCAACCCUUGCUCCACGUGGCACCCGUUACAUGUUAGUACAUACCCUGUAAAAAGUCAUAUUUACGGUUGAACUAUCAACGACCAAAUCAAAUCACCUGUUUAUAAUUUUCUAUUCCAAGCAAAAGCAGUUUCAAG
rnacentral:lncRNA from 1 species